rnacentral:rRNA from 1 species
AUUGAACGCUGGCGGCAUGCUUUACACACGCAAGUCGAACGGUAACAGGUUAAGCUGACGAGUGGCGAACGGGUGAGUAAUGCAUCGGAACGUGCCCGGUCGUGGGGGAUAACACUUCGAAAGAAGUGCUAAUACCGCAUACGAUCUAAGGAUGAAAGCGGGGGACCGUAAGGCCUCGCGCGAUCGGAGCGGCCGAUGUCAGAUUAGGUAGUUGGUGGGGUAAAGGCCUACCAAGCCGACGAUCUGUAGCUGGUCUGAGAGGACGACCAGCCACACUGGGACUGAGACACGGCCCAGACUCCUACGGGAGGCAGCAGUGGGGAAUUUUGGACAAUGGGCGCAAGCCUGAUCCAGCAAUGCCGCGUGCAGGAAGAAGGCCUUCGGGUUGUAAACUGCUUUUGUACGGAGCGAAAAGGCUCUCUCUAAUACAGGGGGCUGAUGACGGUACCGUAAGAAUAAGCACCGGCUAACUACGUGCCAGCAGCCGCGGUAA